rnacentral:rRNA from 1 species
GACAGCAGUGCCGCGGUAAUACGAAGGGGGCUAGCGUUGCUCGGAAUGACUGGGCGUAAAGGGCGCGUAGGCGGAUGGCACAGUCAGAUGUGAAAUUCCCGGGCUUAACCUGGGGGCUGCAUUUGAUACGUGUUGUCUAGAGUGAGGAAGAGGGUUGUGGAAUUCCCAGUGUAGAGGUGAAAUUCGUAGAUAUUGGGAAGAACACCGGUGGCGAAGGCGGCAACCUGGUCCUUGACUGACGCUGAGGCGCGAAAGCGUGGGGAGCAAACAGGAUUAGAUACCUCAGUAGUCCCUGUCUCUUAUACC